rnacentral:rRNA from 1 species
AUGCCGUCCCAAAGCAGCCCGCCUGUAGCACUGCCCGGUUUCCCUAAGAAACCUAUGCACCACCUCACCGCCGCUGAUCUUCCCCGUGCCCUCGAACGCUACCGCAGGCUGCUGGACAAGCUGCUGCAACAUGAGGAUGGGUGGGUGUUCGCCAAGCCGGUGGAUACACACAGCCUCAAACUCCGCGACUACCUCUCUAUCAUCGCCGAACCCAUGGAUCUCGGCACUGUAAGCCGCCGCCUUGAAUUGUGUCGCUACCCGAACCUGCUCUGCUUUGCCAAGGAUGUCCGGCGUACCUUCAGCAACGCCAUGACCUACAACAACAAGGGAGACGAUGUGUACGAGAGUGCUGCUAAACUCUCUCGCAUCUUCGAGUCAGGGUGGGUCUCCAUUUUGGCGGCGCUCCCGUCGCCGCCGCCGGUCACCGUGCAUAGGGCAAGGCUCAAGGAUGAGCUGCCGUGGCUGCCGGUGGACUUGCAGGGGAAAGCGGUCGUCAUUAUGAAGGACAUAGGCGGGUGGAUCCAAGAGGUGGAUGGGAGGGUUGAGGUGGAUUUCGACAAGGCCGACAAGGCGACUCUUGACAAGCUUGAGUGGUUGCUCGCUCUCGCCAUCAUCAGGAAGUGCCGUCCUCUGGAUUCGCCCUCCGCCUCGCCAUUCGGCCAUGGCGUCAUCCCUGGGUUGAGUGAGUGGGAAAGGGGACAUGUGAGAGAGGGGUGA